GCGGCGUGCCUAAUACAUGCAAGUCGAGCGAGAAAGGUCCUUCGGGAGCUGAUUAAAGCGGCGGAUGGGUGAGUAACGCGUAGAUAAUCUACCUACAAGUCUGAGAUAACGUUGGGAAACCGAGGCUAAUACCGGAUGAUGUUUAUAUUAUAGAUACAUAAAUGAAAGGGGCGCAAGUUUCGCUUGUAGAUGAGUCUGCGUUUUAUCAGCUAGUUGGUGGGGUAAAGGCCUACCAAGGCGAUGACGGAUAGCUGGUUUGAGAGGAUGAUCAGCCACACUGGGACUGAGACACGGCCCAGACUCCUACGGGAGGCAGCAGUAGGGAAUUUUGCGCAAUGGGGGCAACCCUGACGCAGCGACGUCGCGUGAACGAAGAAGGUCUUACGAUCGUAAAGUUCUGUAAGGAGGGAAGAACCGCAACUGGUAACGCAGUUGUCUGACGGUACCUCCAAAGUAAGGACCGGCUAAAUAAGUGCCAGCAGCCGCGGUAAUACUUAUGGUCCGAGCGUUAUCCGGAAUAACUGGGCGUAAAGGGUGCGUAGGUUGCUAUCUAAGUUAGGUGUGAAAGCCCCGGGCUCAACCCGGGAAAUGCGCUUAAAACUGGAUAGCUUGAGUGUGCGAGAGGUAGGCGGAAUUCCCGGAGUAGCGGUGGAAUGCGUAGAUUUCGGGAAGAACACCAGUGGCGAAGGCGGCUUACUGGCGCACAACUGACACUGAGGCACGAAGGCGUGGGGAGCGAACGGGAUUAGAUACCCCGGUAGUCCACGCAGUAAACGAUGGAUACUAGAUGUCGGGCUCACUAAGAGCUCGGUGUUACAGCUAACGCGAUAAGUAUCCCGCCUGGGGAAUACGACCGCAAGGUUAAAACUCAAAGGAAUUGACGGGGGCCUGCACAAGCGGUGGAGCAUGUGGUUUAAUUCGAUGCAACGCGAAGAACCUUACCUGGUCUUGACAUCCUUCUGAAAGUUUUUAGAGAUAAAGACAGUCUCUUCGGAGACAGAAGUGACAGGUGCUGCAUGGCUGUCGUCAGCUCGUGUUGUGAAAUGUUCGGUUAAGUCCGGCAACGAGCGCAACCCUUGCUGUCAGUUGCUACCAUUAAGUUGGGCACUCUGGCAGGACAGCCGAGGAUAACUCGGAGGAAGGUGGGGAUGACGUCAAGUCCUCAUGGCCUUUAUGACCAGGGCUACACACGUGCUACAAUGGUAAUGACAAAGUGAAGCUACACCGAGAGGUUAAGCCAACCACAAAAACGUUAUCAUAGUUCGGAUUGGAGUCUGCAAUUCGACUCCAUGAAGCUGGAAUCGCUAGUAAUCGCAGAACAGCAUGCUGCGGUGAAUAUGUUCCCAGGCCUUGUACACACCGCCCGUCACACCAUGGAAGCUGUUUUCACUGGAAGAUGUUGAGCCAGCCUUCGGGAAGCAAACAUCAAUGGUGGG
rnacentral:rRNA from 1 species